CCCCGGAUCGUUUCAGGCUCGCUGGGUGGGUCUCUCCGACCUUGAUGUGGAGUUGAAUGUUCUCCGAUUGGUUUUUGUGGUUCUCCGAUCUGUGAUUUUCGUCUCUGUUCUUGUCUGAUUGGGAUUCGAUUUUGGUUUGUCGAGUUUUCCGGCUGCGUCCUUUGGAUCUGCGGCAACGGCCUUCGUCGACAUCUAUCUCACAGGUCGUCCCUCAAUUUACCUUCGGUUAAUUGCUUUGUUGUUGGAGUAUAUUUGGUUGAGAGUAGAAGCCUUAGUUUCAAGUUUAGGGCUGGCAAUAUUGACUUCUAGUUCUGCCUCCUGUUACUUUCUGCCCGGUUAUUGGUGUUUUGAGUUUGUGAAGGUUUCGUUUUGUGGGUUCUUCAUUCGGAUGGUAGUCUCCUGCAAAGGCAUCUACUAGCUCUCUUCCUAAUCUUUUUUAGAUUUAAGAUUUGAGUUCAAGACGAUGUGGUAGGCUCGGUCUUCAUUCCUUCUCUUGCGUGGCGUAACCAGUUCUUAGGCUGUAGAUGGUUUUGGCUGGGUCUACGAAUGUCCGCGUGUAAGGUUUGUUGGUCCUCUUUGGCGUUUUCCCCUUCGGAUCUCAAGGCUUCUCCUUGUCCUUUCACCUGCUUGUAUUCUCUGGUUUUUGGUGUGGUAGUGAUGGUUAGGAUCUGUGCUCUGAUCUUCUUAUUUGUCUGUGUUCGUUUCUGCUGGGUUUGUGGUUGUGUGAGCUUGGUUUA
rnacentral:lncRNA from 1 species